GGGGAUGCCAGGCAUCGAUAAUAAAGCCCUUUUAAAGCAUUCAGAACGUGAUUUCCGGUGUUCACGCAAAUCAGGCCGGAAAAUAAAUAAGUGCAAAAACAUUUGCCAGCAAGGUGAAAGCUGCAUUUAGCAUGCCGACCUUUGCUCCUGUUGCCGCUUAAUUGCCGCAACCAUCCGCUCCGGCGAUUCCUAAUAACCGGAAGCGGGUGUCAAUUUAUUAGGAUAGGUUAAACAAAGUUCUCGGUGUUUAGCCGAAACCAAUAGAACUAGCUAUGGCUGAUUUUGUUCGGUUUUCUACAGCCAUGGCGAAAUACAAAAACCGCGCUAUUUCUGUAAAUAUGCUUUAUGAGAAUUUAUUAGACGCGGGUUCAAAUCCCGCCAUCUCCACCG
rfam:Candidatus Falkowbacteria bacterium CG1_02_37_44 cg1_0.2_scaffold_4102_c, whole genome shotgun sequence.